rnacentral:rRNA from 1 species
GACGAACGCUGGCGGCGUGCUUAACACAUGCAAGUCGAACGGAAAGGCCUUUUCGGAGGUACUCGAGUGGCGAACGGGUGAGUAACACGUGGGUGAUCUGCCCUGCACUCUGGGAUAAGCCUGGGAAACUGGGUCUAAUACCGGAUAGGACCGCACUUUAGUGUGUGUGGUGGAAAGUUUUUUCGGUGUAGGAUGAGCCCGCGGCCUAUCAGCUUGUUGGUGGGGUAAUGGUCUACCAAGGCGGCGACGGGUAGCCGGACUGAGAGGUUGGUCGGCCACAUUGGGACUGAGGUACGGCCCAGAUGCCUACGGGAGGCAGCAGUGGGGAAUAUUGCAAAAUGGGCGCAAGCCUGAUGCAGCGACGCCGCGGGGGGGAUGACGGACUUCGUGUUGUAAACUCCUUUCGCCAGGGACGAAGCGUUUUGUGACGGUACCUGGAGAAGAAGCACCGGCUAACUACGUG